rnacentral:lncRNA from 1 species
GAUCCAAUGGUGACGUGAUGGACCGUGACCGGAGUGGUGCGUCUCGGUGCUGUGAUGCAGGCCCAGUCAUCUCCCUCAGAAAGUCAUUCCCUGUGCAUGGCUGGCCUGAGCCAACUUACUCCGUGGCAACGUGCCCAUUGUUUGCUGUGAAUUUAGAACCUGAAGCUAAGGAUGAAAGCCCUUGUCAGCUGUGCAGCACUUCCAGGAUCAAGGUUCAGCACACUUCAGUGGACCUGGAGGCUUUAUGGUUCUGAUGCCUGGCAGCAAAACAGAAGAGAAGCAGUCGGG